AUGGGCAUCACGUGGAAGAUACCAGAAGAAUACACAGUAGCGAGUAGUUCCUAUCUCCAAGAACUUACUCUGCAGAGGGAGGACUGGUGAUAAGAACAAGGAAAAGAGGUGAUCAGGUUAUGCCCUGACAUGGGACCCCGGAGUGUUCCUAUUACCCUAUGCUGGCUCAGCAGUCGGUGCUU